GACGAACGCUGGCGGCGUGCUUAACACAUGCAAGUCGAACGCUGAAACCAGAUGCUUGCAUUUGGUGGAUGAGUGGCGAACGGGUGAGUAACACGUGGGCGAUCUGCCCUACACUUUGGGAUAAGCCUGGGAAACUGGGUCUAAUACCGAAUAUUCACAUCAUCGUAGGGGUGGUGUGGAAAGCUUUAUGCGGUGUGGGAUGAGCCUGCGGCCUAUCAGCUUGUUGGUGGGGUAAUGGCCUACCAAGGCGUCGACGGGUAGCCGGCCUGAGAGGGUGUACGGCCACAUUGGGACUGAGACACGGCCCAGACUCCUACGGGAGGCAGCAGUGGGGAAUAUUGCACAAUGGGCGCAAGCCUGAUGCGGCGACGCCGCGUGGGGGAUGACGGCCUUCGGGUUGUAAACUCCUUUCGCUAGGGACGAAGCCUUUUUGGUGACGGUACCUGGAGAAGAAGCACCGGCUAACUACGUGCCAGCCGCCGCGGUAACAC
rnacentral:rRNA from 1 species